AUACCUCUGCGGUACUCGAUAGCGGCCGGGUAUUAUCCUUGAGCCUAAUAUCGUACCCCGGGAUUCUAGCGUGUAAUAUCAGUGUGCGUUACCGCUUCGGCGGGAGGCCUGACGAUAUUACCUUGAAUCCCACCUGAACCUCCGGUUCAAGGUCAAAAGCCGCAACGACGCUGUGGAGGUAUC
rnacentral:other from 1 species